AAAUUGAAGAGUUUGAUCAUGGCUCAGAUUGAACGCUGGCGGCAGGCCUAACACAUGCAAGUCGAACGGUAGCACAGAGAGCUUGCUCUCGGGUGACGAGUGGCGGACGGGUGAGUAAUGUCUGGGAAACUGCCUGAUGGAGGGGGAUAACUACUGGAAACGGUGGCUAAUACCGCAUAAUGUCGCAAGACCAAAGAGGGGGACCUUCGGGCCUCUUGCCAUCAGAUGUGCCCAGAUGGGAUUAGCUUGUUGGUGAGGUAACGGCUCACCAAGGCGACGAUCCCUAGCUGGUCUGAGAGGAUGACCAGCCACACUGGAACUGAGACACGGUCCAGACUCCUA
rnacentral:rRNA from 1 species